rnacentral:rRNA from 1 species
UACAGAGGGCUCAAGCGUUGUUCGGAAUCACUGGGCGUAAAGGGUGCGUAGGCGGCUCGGUAAGUCAGAGGUGAAAUCCCGGAGCUCAACUUCGGAAUUGCCUCCGAUACUGCCGUGCUUGAGGACUGGAGAGGAGAUUGGAAUUCACAGUGGAGCAGUGAAAUGCGUAGAUAUUGUGAGGAACACGAGUGGCGAAGGCGAAUCUCUGGACAGUUCCUGACGCUGAGGCACGAAGGCCAGGGGAGCAAACGGG